UAUUGGAGUGGUAGACACAACAGAAAAUUCUAAGUUAAAACUAACCUUCUGGAAAGUGCUAGCAUUCUCCAAAAGUUUACAGAAACAACUCCAAGAUCCUCUCAAAUUUCAGGGAAGUAGGAAAUGGGCAUCUUAUUCCUAGGCAUUAAAGUCAGAGCUAAGUGUGUUGACAGAUAGUUAUAAGAGCCAAAUAUAAACAAAUCAUUUCUCUGAAGCAUAUUCUGUUGUUGUUUGUUUGUCUUUGGUAAAUCAACAAGUUUAAUCCAGUUGCUUGUUGGUGAAAUUUAUGGGGGGAACAGUUAGGAUGGGAUCAUUUACAUUCUAGGUGUGUGCAUAGCAGUGUGUUUUAAAUAGAGUGGUCAGUUGAAGUAGAUACUGAAGCCUCCUGUCUUUCUGUAAUACAUCUCUUUAAAUUAUUGUAUCUACACUGAUACAUUGCUCUGUUGGAUUUCUGUACUCACAAAAUGAAAUUAAAAGAAGACCUGUAGAGACUAGGGAACUAACUAUCCAGGGCAGCAUUUUUAAAAUUAGCUCAAGAAGAAAAGUGAAUCCCUCACAUUUUCCCAAGACAAAUCCCUCCCGUCUGUCAUAUGCUGUGGCUCACCUAAUAGAAUAUCUUAGAUGACUAAGUAUAUUUUAAUGAGCCCAGAAAUUAAAAUCAUCUCCUUAUUACUUGGAAAUACAAAGAUGUCACCAGCAUCUCAUGUCCUUGGGUAAUACUCUAUGUCUGAUUUAAUAGCUCACUGAGGGCCUGGCUUGCUUUAGAGCAGCAGAGAUAGCAUUUUAAUGGAGAAAGAACCAAGAAUAAGAAGAAUGUGUCUCACAUCAACCCUGUCAAAUUUUCCUCAGCCUGGUUAGCUUCAAUUAAUUUAAUUUUCAUAUAGCAAAGCUCAAAAUAAUAUUAUUCUCUUAUAUGCCAUCAAGUUUUAUGUAAUUCAUAUGGUUGUAUCAUACCUCAUGUAAUCUACUUUCUCCUUUGUUUAAAAUUCAGAAGGUCUUCCUAUUUAAAUUAUCAAAAUUCAUUUGUUUUCUCAAACAAAAUUAUGCCAACCUAUAUGUAAAGGGGAUGGCAACUUUAUUUAAAAUUGGUACUUAAUUAAAUGUAGACAUGUAGUUUGGUACUCACCUUUCAUUUUUGGUAUGUUUAGAAGAGAUGGCAAGCAUGUCCAACUUUUUGACAUUGACACACAAUUUCAAAUGAUGUUUAUGCUAAAGAAUUGCACAGGUGAGUACUACAAAAUCCCCUUAUAAUAUUUUAAGUAAGCUUAGGGUUUUGUAUAGGGUUGCAUUCAUAGCUAUCAUAUAGUGCAUGUGUUUCACACUAGAGUCUUCUGUAAGAGCUUCAAAUAUGGCAAAUGUGCAACACUUGGAAAGUAUAAUAUGUUAUUAGUUAAUUAUUCUAAAUCUGUUAGAAAUUGAGUAAAACUCUGAGGGCUAAAAGAAAGAUUGUCCUCAACCUAAGGAGUUGAGUGGCUGACAUAAUAAGGACCAAAUUGAGUAUGUUUAGUCCCUGAGCCAAAGUACCUACAAAUAAUUUAAAAGAGGGAGUUCAUUGCUUUGUUUUUUGGUUUGACAGGGUUUGGUUCAUGUCCAUUUUCCUGAGUGUUUCUUAAACUACUGUGACACAGAACACCCUGUAUGUGGAGAAGAUAUCUCUUUAUGUCAUAGAGAAUAACAAGCAGAAUAAGUGGAAUACAGGAAGGGAGGUAGGGCAAGAUAUAGUCAACAUUCUCUUAAUAACUCACUUCCUUUAGCUACGCUAAUACCCUACUUUUUAUCCUAAUCCAGUGGUGCUAUUAUAUUACAAGAUUAACUCAUUUACCAGGACUCCUCUCAGUAACUGAUUGUUUAUAUGCUCCACAUGUGUUCAAAGGGUGUGCCUGGCUCUUUGUACCCUCAGUCACUUGUACCUGUGUUUGACAGGGUCCUGUGAUUUUUGUCCGUACUUAGAUUUACUCUGUGUUGCAUUAGCUUGGCAUUCUCUUCAUAAAGAACAGCUAGCUUCAGAGUGUGGUGUUUCAGAGUUGACCCCCUUCUCGUGGUGUUCCUCCCUUAGAUAAAGAGCCAAGACCAGUCAGUUCUUUCUUACCAAGAUUCAGGAGUGAUGGUGACGUCGAUGGUACAGAUUAUGAAUAUGCUUUGCUGAUUGCUUCUUUGGUCUUUUCUACCUCUUUAAUAAGAAUAAGUGUGGUUGCAAGUUUAAACAAAAAUAUGCCCAAGUGUGAUGAUGUCAAUACUCUGUUUCCAAUGUUGAUCAGUUAACCUGUGCUGUGGAAAUAUGAAUUAGGAAAAUUUUAUUUGUCCUAAAAGAAGCUUUGGGCAUCUGAUGUAUUACACAUAGCCUAACACUAAAAUAAGAGUUUUUAUUUAUU
rnacentral:lncRNA from 1 species